rnacentral:misc_RNA from 1 species
GAUGAAGAACGCAGCGAAAUGCGAUAAGUAAUGUGAAUUGCAGAAUUCAGUGAAUCAUCGAAUCUUUGAACGCAUCUUGCGCCCCUUGGUAUUCCGAGGAGCAUGCCUGUUCGAGCGUCAUUACAACCCUCAGGCCCCCGGGCCUGGCGUUGGGGAUCGGCGGAAGCCCCCUGCGGGCACAACGCCGUCCCCCAAAUACAGUGGCGGUCCCGCCGCAGCUUCCAUUGCGUAGUAGCUAACACCUCGCAACUGGAGAGCGGCGCGGCCACGCCGUAAAACACCCAACUUCUGAAUGUUGACCUCGAAUCAGGUAGGAAUACCCGCUGAACUUAAGCAUAUCAAUAAGCGGAGA